GCCGGGAUGGCGGAAUUGGCAGACGCCUUGGACUUAAAAUCCAAUGGAGCUUCGCUCCGUGCCGGUUCAAGUCCGGCUCCCGGCA
rnacentral:tRNA from 1 species